rnacentral:rRNA from 1 species
AUUGCCCUAGUAACGGCGAGUGAAGCGGCAACAGCUCAAAUUUGAAAUCUGGCUCUUUUAGGGUCCGAGUUGUAAUUUGCAGAGGGCGCUUUGGCGUUGGCAGCGGUCCAAGUUCCUUGGAACAGGACGUCACAGAGGGUGAGAAUCCCGUACGUGGUCGCUGGCCUUCGCCGUGUAAAGCCUCUUCGACGAGUCGAGUUGUUUGGGAAUGCAGCUCUAAAUGGGAGGUAAAUUUCUUCUAAAGCUAAAUACUGGCCAGAGACCGAUAGCGCACAAGUAGAGUGAUCGAAAGAUGAAAAGCACUUUGGAAAGAGAGUCAAAUAGCACGUGAAAUUGUUAAAAGGGAAGCGCUUGCAGCCAGACUUGCCCGUAGUUGCUCAUCCAGGCUCUUGCCUGGUGCACUCUUCUAUGGGCAGGCCAGCAUCAGUUUGGGCGGUUGGAUAAAGGUCUCUGUCAUGUACCUCCUUUCGGGGAGGCCUUAUAGGGGAGACGACAUGCAACCAGCCUGGACUGAGGUCCGCGCAUUCGCUAGGAUGCUGGCGUAAUGGCUGUAAGCGGCCCGUCUUGAAACACGGACCAAGGAGUCUAACAUCUAUGCGAGUGUUUGGGUGUCAAGCCCGAACGCGCAAUGAAAGUGAACGGAGGUGGGAACCCUUAAGGGUGCACCAUCGACCGAUCCUGAUGUCUUCGGAAGGAUUUGAGUAAGAGCAUAGCUGUUGGGACCCGAAAGAUGGUGAACUAUGCUUGAAUAGGGUGAAGCCAGAGGAAACUCUGGUGGAGGCUCGCAGCGGUUCUGACGUGCAAAUCGAUCGUCAAAUUUGGGCAUAGGGGCGAAAGACUAAUCGAACUAUCUAGUAGCUGGUC